CAGUCUAUUCUAAACCUUACCAGGUUGGUGGCAAGAAAUUUUGAAUUGUUAUUUAUUUCAUUAACUAUUCAGGGGAAUAUGUGAAGGUAGCGAGAGUUAAAAAACCGGCGUUCUUUCAUGUUGUAAAAUGAUAAAAUAUACAUUGUUCUCUUGUGUGUUUCGAUAGAUAUCCUAUUCUUUCUGAACAUCUAAUAUCUUGAAAUAUUUUAUUUGUACAAGUUGAUAUUGCUUAUAGAAAACGAUUUCAAAAUUAUUCUUUCUGGCUCGCUGUUUCUGAUGGCUAUUCUUCAUUCUUUAAUAUGGUGUAUACUUGUUGGAUACAAAGCGUUAAGACAGUUAUUGUCACUUCUGCUCAAUUCAGAUUAAUGGAUGCUAGAGGAAAAAUGUUAUAUGAGAUUUUACCUAGACAUGAUAACUUAAUUUGUGCUAUGAUAUGGAACGGUUAAAUGGUCUAACAAUAUGUUGGUUACUGGGUUAUUCCACUUAUAUAUGAAGAAAUCAAGAAAUGUACAUCACGGUGUCCACUCCCUCACAUAGAGGAGGGGGGGGGGGGG
rnacentral:lncRNA from 1 species